GAUGAACGCUGGCGGCGUGCCUAAUACAUGCAAGUAGAACGCUGAAGCUUGGUGCUUGCACCGAGCGGAUGAGUUGCGAACGGGUGAGUAACGCGUAGGUAACCUGCCUCUUAGCGGGGGAUAACUAUUGGAAACGAUAGCUAAUACCGCAUAAAAGUCGAUAUCGCAUGAUAUUGAUUUGAAAGGUGCAAUUGCAUCACUAAGAGAUGGAUCUGCGUUGUAUUAGCUAGUUGGUGAGGUAACGGCUCAUCAAGGCGACGAUACAUAGCCGACCUGAGAGGGUGAUCGGCCACACUGGGACUGAGACACGGCCCAGACUCCUACGGGAGGCAGCAGUAGGGAAUCUUCGGCAAUGGGGGCAACCCUGACCGAGCAACGCCGCGUGAGUGAAGAAGGUUUUCGGAUCGUAAAGCUCUGUUGUAAGAGAAGAACGAGUGUGAGAGUGGAAAGUUCACACUGUGACGGUAACUUACCAGAAAGGGACGGCUAACUACGUGCCAGCAGCCGCGGUAAUACGUGGGUCCCGAGCGUUAUCCGGAUUUAUUGGGCGUAAAGCGAGCGCAGGCGGUUAGAUAAGUCUGAAGUUAAAGGCUGUGGCUUAACCAUAGUACGCUUUGGAAACUGUUUAACUUGAGUGCAGAAGGGGAGGGUGGAAUUCCAUGUGUAGCGGUGAAAUGCGUAGAUAUAUGGAGGAACACCGGUGGCGAAAGCGGCUCUCUGGUCUGUAACUGACGCUGAGGCUCGAAAGCGUGGGGAGCAAACAGG
rnacentral:rRNA from 1 species